rnacentral:lncRNA from 1 species
AAAAAAGUUGAUUUGCAUACUCUUAAAUUGCCAUGUAAUGUUAAAUUUAAUCCUUCUUUCGAACACAAAAAUAUGAUUAUAUUAAGAGGUUCCCUUUUAAAAGGUUAAAUAAUAAGGUGAUGUUAGAAUUGGAAGUCUUGUAUCCCUUUUAAAAGGUUAAAAAUUUAUGGUCGGCGCCAAAAGUAAAGUAGCAAUACCUUGCAUCCGCCUCAGGCUUAAGAUUUAAACUGAUACAAUAAAUAAAGUGCAUGUUAUGUGGAAUGCAUAAGGAGGGACAUAGAAAGGAAGAACUUUGUGAUUUCCUAUAUCCUUAUAUGGAUUGCUUUGCACAAGAUUCAGAUGAAGAGAAUACUAUUAUUUAGGGAUAUCUCUACUCAUGGAGUAGCUCUAUAUUAUACUUAUUUUUAACAACUAAAAGUCUCUUUUCUUUCUGUCUUUUUCUUUUUCCUUUUGUUAUAUAUGCUAUUAAAUUUUGUUUCAAGCUCCUAAUGACACCAAAUUGUAACCUGGAAUCAUGCAUUUAUUAGGUUUAAGGCGUGUAUUAAUUCUCCGUACCAUUCAAAAAUACUAAGUUUAUCACAAAGUAAAAAAAUUAAGCCGGUAUAUUUUGCAUCUAAAUAUUUUAAUUUUUCCCCCUAAGUUUAGGUUUCAGAUGAGUAUGCAAAAUUGUUACAACAACAGUCUAGUAUGCAGAAUGUUAUAUGUCUUAAAUUCUCCUUAAUAGAAUGCUUUACUGUUGAGAUAAGAGAAAAUACAUGAUAUAGCGUUGUAUAGCCUUGUACAUUUUAUGUAUACUCAUUGUAUAUUUUCGGUAUAUCCAUGGUAUAUCUUGUAAUUGGGCUAUGAUGAUU